rnacentral:rRNA from 1 species
UACAGGGGGUGCAAACGUUGCUCGGAAUCAUUGGGCGUAAAGCGCACGUAGGCGGUCUGUUAUGUCGGAUGUGAAAGCCCUUGGCUCAACUGAGGAAGUGCAUCCGAAACUGGCAGGCUAGAGUACUAAAGAGGGUCGCGGAAUUCCCGGUGUAGAGGUGAAAUUCGCAGAUAUCAGGAGGAACACCAAUUGCGAAGGCAGCUCGCUGGGACGUUACUGACGCUGAGACGCGAAAGCGUGGGGAGCAAACAGG